rnacentral:lncRNA from 1 species
CCUAUUCUAGUUUCAUUCCUUUGGAUAUCGAAUUCAUCUAACCUUCUUAUUUGAAUUGAGUUGUAUGUGAUUGCUUGGAUUCCAUGUGUGCCCUUGCUUUCAUUUCCUUUCAAAUCUGAAUAUAAUUGUGAAAGAUUAUUGCUUACUUCGUAUUGACUCGUAAAGGCACAUGUACGUUUUGUUGUUCCGCGUGUGCUUCCGAUAUGUGCUAUUCAUUGUUCAUACUAUCCUUUUGUACUCUGGUGUUUGUGG